rnacentral:rRNA from 1 species
AGUGAACGCUGGCGGUAGGCCUAACACAUGCAAGUCGAACGGCAGCACAGUAAGAGCUUGCUCUUACGGGUGGCGAGUGGCGGACGGGUGAGGAAUACAUCGGAAUCUACUUUUUCGUGGGGGAUAACGUAGGGAAACUUACGCUAAUACCGCAUACGACCUACGGGUGAAAGCAGGGGAGCUUCGGACCUUGCGCGAUUGAAUGAGCCGAUGUCGGAUUAGCUAGUUUGCGAGGUAAAGGCCCACCAAGGCGACGAGCCGUAGCUGGUCUGAGAGGAUGAUCGGCCACACUGGAACUGAGACACGGGCCAGACUCCGACGGGAGGCAGCAGUAGGGAAUCUUGCACAAUGGGCGAAAGCCUGACGCAGCAACACCGCGUGAGUGAAGAAGGUCUUCGGAUUGUAAAGCCCUUUUGUUGGGAAAGAAAAGAAGUAUGAUAAAAUAUCGACGUCUUGACGGUACCCAAAGAAAAAGCACCGGCUAACUUCGUG